CAGAUACUCCCUCCGUUUGGAAUUACUUGUCUCGGAAAUGGAUGUAUCUACAACUAAAAUACGUCUAGAUACAUCCAUUUAUGCGACAAGUAAUUCCGAACGGAGGGAGUACAUU
rnacentral:pre_miRNA from 1 species